AGAGGGGGACUUUCAAUGACUAUGGUGUUGUGGUUGCAGUCUUUUUCAGAAGAAUAUGCCAUACUGUAAGCCAGAAGCAUGAUCAUCCAAAGACGAGCACUGGAGUUGGCAGUUCUGGCCCUGGACAGUGGCAGAGAGAGAAGCAGCAGUGGAUGAUGGCAACAGAACUGGAAGUGACUGGAGUUGUCAAUUCCCUGUGGAGGACAGUGGAGAAGGGACUGGGCUCCUGGAGCAAAAGGGAGUCAGAAGAGCCCUAUCCAUGCCUGGGGUGCAGCCUGACAGGGAGUUGACCAACCCAGAGGAGCCAGUGAGACAGAAGCUGGAGAUGGUGGAGAAAGCCAAAGGGGAAAAGCAACUAUCACCUGGGGACUUGAGGAUCUCUCGAUGGAAACGAAUUGUCCCAAGUAGAAGGGCAAAUUGAUUGGUGAUUACCUCUUUCUGAGACUUAGGAUGGACUCAUUUAAAUUGAUUUAUUUGCAUCUGAGUGGAAAAUUGAUUUAUAUUCAUCCCUGUUUUGACUUUGACUGAAUUGAUUUAAAUUAAGGGACAUGGGUAUUGCAAAGGGACUAAUAUAAACUGUUUGCUGUUCAGGCUUGCCUGAAUUAUAGACUGAAGGGAAGCUGGGCUAAGUUGAGACCAUUAGAGGUGGCCAACAACCCACUGACCUCAAUACCCACUGACCUCAAGGCACAGAGAAUCUCCAUCUGUUGGGACAUGGUAAAAUUGGUGUGUAAGGGGGGGGGAGGAGCCCCAAAAAGAAGACUUAUCUAGGUAAUCCAAGAAGGUCAUUACUCAGCCUGCUUCCACCUCCCAAUCAGUAACCAGAAACAUAAAGGGUGUGGAAUGCAUGAGAAGGGCAUCACAGGCUAGGUAUUCACAGAACCUUACAGAUCUCCCCACAGCUCACCCCAACAAGGUGCCAGGUCAUUGGGGACCAUGGCCAUAUAGCAUCCAUACUAGACAAAGGUGUCCUUGAAUCUCUUGUUUUGCCCACCUAUAGAGCAGUUUCCAUUAUCAAGAAUGGAAUAUACACAACAUCAAUAACCAGUGGCAAUGAUACACAAAAAAUUAGGAAAGGAAAUGAAAAGGUACCAUAUCAAAUUGAAAUUGCAUACAUACCUUUAGGUCAACAUCAAUUCAUAAACUCUCUAAACUAAAAUGAAUCAGGACUGUAGGGAUACUCACCAUGUUAUCACAAAUGAUGUACUUAGGAUCUUUAGUAAUCCCAAAUGAUCAGAACCUUGAUUAAAUUUCACCCUAACGUUGCCAGUGGAUUGUUAAUUGAUUUGAUACUCACAAAACAUCUGUACUGUUCAACUGUCUUUACUCCUCAAUAUGCCAUUAGGGUGAAAGAACAGGGGACCCAGCCACAAAUCACUGAUGUCAGGAUCUGUAACAGCCUAAAUACCUCAUGAUCAGUUUCAUCAACAACUCUUAACAUAAUCCUCAUGGAUACUUUAUAUUCAACAUUUGUUAGGAAGAAAUCAUCAACUAUAAUC